rnacentral:lncRNA from 1 species
AGCUGUCGCUUCGUAUACAGGAAAAAUUUCUUUGUAUACAGCGGAUUUGUCGGCAUGCCCGGGGAAACGAGUAAUCCGGGGCGUGACAGAAACGGUUUUAAAAAGGAUUUUCUGGUUUCGUGAUUCUUAGUAUUUCAAAAUAAGUUUCCGAGUAGAAAACGUUUUAAACUAAUCGAUGUGGAUUUAUGAAUAUCUGUGAUGAAAUGAAUGAUGUAUGUGAAUUAAUGGUGUUUGUAUGUGGAUGUUCAUACUCGUGGUUGUAUCUUGUACUUGUGCGACGCUGUGCAAAUACAGGGGAGACUCUGUCCGUGUGAACAGUAGAUACCCUAUAUUUGUGGCGGAUCUGAUAUCCUCUGGGGUCAAGGUUUUCCAAAAAAAAAAUUGGGCAAUUUCGCAUCAGUCUUUAAAUUAAAAAGGGACCCCGAGGCGUGACAGGGGGGGAUGGGGUGUAGGUGAGGAAUAAAGAAGAGAGAGAGAGAGAGAGAGAGGGAGAGAGAGAAUGACAUAGGUGGAAGAGGCAAAGAAAAGGAAGUGGAAGUGAGAGAGGAGAAAGGAGGAGACUAGAAAAGAAGAAGGAUGAAAGAGGAAGAGAAAGAGAGAGUGCAAUGGGAGUAGAGUAAGAAAGGAAGUGAGAGAGAGAGGGAAAGAGAGAAGAUACUUAUAGGCUAGGGGAGCCCGCUUGCGUUGUAAUGAUAGUAAAAAGGAAAUGUGUGUGCAAGAGAGAAUAAGUGCGGUAGGGUAGGUGAAAUUUGCAGCCUCCGUUGGUCGACUGAGGGGUUUAGCGUGGUUGACUGUAAAGUGGGGAUAAAAUUGGUCCAAUUAAUUGAUACACCAU